rnacentral:tRNA from 1 species
GCAGUGUUCCCAUAAUGGUAUUGGAGCCGGUUGCUAUCCGGUCGGGCGUCUAUUCGCCUUGUAGGUUCGAAUCCUACACACUGCG